rfam:Gossypium raimondii Chr09_contig_1485, whole genome shotgun sequence.
AGUCCAUUAUGAGGGCACUUUAAUAAUAAUUUAUUGUACCUUUCCCAUGCCUCAUAUAAGGACUCGUCAUCCAUUUGUUGAAAGAUAGUAACUUCAUUCUACAAGU